GAAUUUACUGCAAGUUUGCUCAUCUCUACUCAGCAUCUUCCACAGCCUACAAUGAAUACUUGGCUAGCUGCAGCUGAAGGUUUUUGGCUUAAUGCCAAUUUUCCUAAUUGUAUUGGGGCCCAGGAUGGAAAGCAUGUUAGGAUAAGGAAGCCAUCCAGUAGUGGGUCCUUGUUCUAUAACUACAAAAAUGUUUUUUAGAUUAUCUUAAUGGCCAUCUGUGACACCUCCUACAAAUUUCUGGCAGUAGAUAUUGGUGCGUUUUGUCAGAAUAAUAACUCACGCGUAUUCAAGGAGUCAAACUUGGGAAAGGCAUUGUACAGCGGUAAUUUCAACAUACCUGAGCAAAAACCACUCCCAGGUACACAAGGACCUCCUCUUCCCCAUGUCAUUGUGGCUGAUGAGGCAUUGCAAAUGUGCACCAAUCUCCUGAAGCCUUAUUCUGGGAGGAGGCUGAAUCCGGGACGGCGUAUCUUCAAUUAUCAUCUCACACGAGCAAGAAGAUAUAUAGAGUGUACAUUUGGAAUAUUAACUAGUAAAUGGAGGGUUCUAAUCACCACAAUGCUAAUGAAGCCUGAAAAUGUGGAUCGUGUCAUCAAGGCAUGUGUGGUACUGCACAAUUUCUUAAUAAAUACAGAGCCAGCAUCAUUUAAUAUGGAAGAAGUGGAUGAGUCUCCCCUGAUAGGCUUACAGACAAAUCCUCAUCGGACAUCUGUCACUGUGAUACAGAUCCGUGACCAUUUUGAGCGCUUCUUCAAUUCACCGCUAGGAGCUGUAUCAUGGCAAGAUGAUGUUUAGAUACAUUGGACUUCAAUCAAGGGAGCCCGCAAUCAACAUGCAGCUUUUUUUUUUUUUUUU